rnacentral:tRNA from 1 species
GAGGUGAUAGCCCAGUGUGGUAGAGCCCUUGCUUGUAUGCAGGAGGCACUGGGUUCAAUCCCCAGUACUGCA